rnacentral:lncRNA from 1 species
CCAGUGGGCACAGCUGUGAGCAGCAGGUGAGCAGCACUGACAGCAAUGAGCCAUGGAGUGCCCAGGGGCACUGCCCAGUCCCAACGGGAACAGAGGGCACACAGGUGUAGUGCAUCAACAUGAGGGGUUAAAAGGUUGGGCUAAAGAACAAGAAGGGCAGAUGCUUGCAGCCUUGAAGUGAUGUGGUGUUACUCUGCAUCUCCUGACUGUCUCAACUGUGACAUGCUGCAACAAUGCCAGGCAGUUUUCUCUCUGCAAGGACUAAUGAAGGUAUCACAAAUGUCUGCAGGGACACUAGGAUCUAUCAAAGCUUGCUACAGCCAGCUGUGAGAGACAUUUGGGCAGAAGACAUCACUUGGACAGUGUGUAAGUGAACAGCAUUAAUGCUUCCACUCUGGAGCUCUGCAUCAGGCUUUCUUCUGAAAAGCUCCCUUGCUGAAGUGUCAGGAGAAAGGAGCUGUGCUAAGUGUUGCCAGACUGGUUCUCUGGAGAAACGGAACAAUUCUUUUACAAUGCAACAAAGCAUUGAUUUUAAGCAAGCAAGACAUGUGCAAAGCAAACGUGCCCAGGAGCUGAACUGCACAAAUGACUGCAGUUCCUGGCCUUCCCUGAGGUGGCUGAGAGGCUUCUGGCAGAGCUGUGCAGCCCUCCUUUCCCUGGAUGAACUGC